AUGGCCUAAAUGUGUAUCCUUAAAGCCUAGUGUAGAACUUUAAGAUUAGACUAAUCAAAGGCCUGAAUGUGUAUCCUUAAAAGCCCAGAUGAUACUGGGUUACACAAGCCCAUAACGUUCACCUAAAACCCUAAUCAGGCACACUCAAACGCCAUAAAUACGCAUAGUGAUCUUCUCUUCUUCCAUCAUUCGUAGUUCUUCUCUAAUGGCUGGACACCUUACCAUCACUGGUUAAGAGCUAAUGAUGAGAAAUACAAUUAUCUUAGCGGAUUUCAGUGAGAUUUCUUUGAAUCAAUGAUCUGAUUGUUACACACACUGAAGCUCUUAAUAAUUUAUUUUUUAUAAAAUGGGAUGUAAAUAAUAAUAAUAAUAGCAGUGAUGAGGUAAAACACAUGAGGAUGUGUUUAGGGAAGUGGACAAGACGAUUAAAACCGUUUUGCCGUGAUCCCCAAUUUAAACGACUUCUCCUUCCACUGAGCUUUUUUUUUUAUUUUCAUUCCAACUUUUAUUCAAAAAUACAGUUUUUGUCGAUUUUGAAGAGAUAUGGUGCGUCCAUUUACCAAUUCUGGAGGAUAAGUUGGUUCCUCACGGUGUAAUGGCUCGGACGCUAUAUUAAUGUUUGUGGCCAUCCUGAUCAAUGGGUUCUCAAUACCAUUGCAUCCUGGAAACACCUCAUACAUUUUAUUCUUUGUUAACAUCCAACUAUUUUAAACAUAGAUUUUUAUUUUAAGAAACGUUUUGUGUAUAUAUUGAGACUCUUUUCUACUUGCUAUGAACUUGAGUUUGAUUUGCUUUUAAAAGUAUAAUGGGUUGUGAUUUGCUAGACAGGUACUGUUGGUCGGACUCAAUUUGCUGCUUAAUGAUUUCGAGUAAUAGUGAAACUGUUACAAAGCAAAAUGAAUAUAUGGUCAUCAAACAAUUUAAGGGUGCUGAAAGUAGUAGAGAAGGAGAAAGGACAUCCCAUAAGGAUGAUGAUGAUAAGUAUGUUUUUAAGUUAUUAUUAUUGUUUACCAUUUUUCAAUUAGAAACCUGAGUUAAAAGUUUUUUUCAAGAAGCUUUGGUAAAAAAGAUAAUGCAGUUGUGAUAUUGGCAGUUCUGCUGGUGGUACGAUGAUACUUCAGUGGUCCGUUAGUAAUUCAAAUUUGCUGUUCAAAAAAUAUAUUCAUGGGUGCAAAGUUGUUGGGCGCUCUCUAGUUGUUUGACUAGGGAGCUGAGAGAACUUGGCUUAGACAGGGAGAGAAAUUAGUUUUUGCAAAUAUAAAUAUAAGUCAAAUAAUUUAAAGUCAAAUUCGGCUCAGUUGAUGAAAUUUGUCUCUGCAGCUACUAAGGAAGUAAUUGGUCUUAGAGAUCUUGCUUUACAACCAUGGUAAUAAUGUAUUAUUUAAUUUGAAGACAUGUAAAUUGUUAGUUAGUGCAGUGAUGAAGUAUAUAUUGUGGACUAGAGUUUCUGAUAUUGGGCUCUUCUUCCCAUUUUAUUUUGACGACAAACCCUUGGCUGUCUGAGCACUAUACCUUUCAUCCUAUUCAUAAGUUUUCCACUGAUUUUUUAAUACUCAGAGUUUAUUCUUUUUAUAAAUUUAGGUUAAGAGCUAAUGAUGAGAAAUACAAUUAUCUUAGCGGAUUUCAGUGAGAUUACUUUUAAUCAAUGAUCUGAUUGUUACACACACUGAAGCUCUUCAAUCUCUUUAUUUUAUUAAAUGGGAUGUUAUAGCAAUAAUGAGGUAAAAUAGAAGAUAAGUAGUUAUUUAUUAGGCCACUCGGUGUGGAGUGUCCCCUGGCCGUCAUGGGGUGGCGCCGCCAUAUCCUCCCAAUUUCCCUUGGAGUGCCGGUGUCAAGAACAGCAUCCACAAGACGUUGAAGACUUGCCAUGUGAAGACAAAAUAUUGCUCGUUCCAAAUCCACCAUCUGAAAGCUCUGAAUAACCGGUGGGUAAAAUUGAAAACUUGAACCAAGAUAAAUUUGGUGAAAAUUGAAUUUGGGGUUCUGGGUCUGAUUCUGUUGAGAUUGAAGAUCGAGUGAAGUAACGAUCUCUGUUGGUUUCCAAAUCGAAAUCUUCUCUGUCACAGUUGCCGGAGAAAGUGAUGGAAAUGGUGAACCAGAUGGCAUCAGUGAUGGUGAACCAUCUGCCAUUCUUGGUGGUGGUUGGUGAUUUUUGGUAGGGAAAAUAAUUAGUUUGGUUUUGAUAGUGUAGGCAACGGCGGUUGGAGAUGGAAGAUGGUGGAGGUUGGAUGAAGGUGGUUGUGCUGUGGUGGUUUUGUGGAGGUGGUGGUGGGGAUGGUGGUGUUUGUAUAGAGAGACUGAAAUUAGUUGGUUCUCUCUAUUUUUUUAAUACUGUUAACUUUUGUUUAAUAUUUUAAACUAGAGGAUGAUCCGCCGCGGCGGGGUAUUUCGUUCCGUGGCAGGGCAUAUCGUUUCGUUUCUCUGUUGAUAGUAUUAGUUACAAAUAAUCUUCUCAGUUUUCCUUAUGAGUU